GACGAACGCUGGCGGCGUGCUUAACACAUGCAAGUCGAACGGAAAGGCCCUGCGCUUGCGGGGUGCUCGAGUGGCGAACGGGUGAGUAACACGUGAGUAACCUGCCCUUGACAUUGGGAUAACUUCAGGAAAAUGGGGCUAAUACCGGAUAGGAGCUCCUGCUGCAUGGUGGGGGUUGGAAAGAUUCGGCCGUUGGGGAUGGAUUCGCGGCUUAUCAGCUUGUUGGUGGGGUAGUGGCGGACCAAGGCUUUGACGGGUAGCCCGCCUGAGAGGGUGACCGGCCACAUUGGGCCUGCGAUACGCCCCAGUCUCCUACGUUACGCAGCAGUGGGGAAUAUUGCACAAUGGGCGGACGCGUGAUGCAGCAGCGCCGCGUGCGUGAUGACGGCUUUCGGGUUGUAAACCACUUUCGCCUGUGCCGAGGCCUGCGUGACGGUACUGGGUAAGGAAGCCCCGGCUAACUACGUG
rnacentral:rRNA from 1 species